GACGAACGCUGGCGGCGUGCUUAACACAUGCAAGUCGAACGGACAGGCGCGGCGUUUGUGGGGUUCUCGAGUGGGGAACGGGUGAGUAAAACAUGAGUAUCCUGCACUUGUCUUAGGGGUAAAUUCUGGGGACAGGGGCGAUUACAGGAGAGGAUCUCUUGCUGCAUGUGGUGGGUUGGAGAGAUUCGGCGUUUGGGGAUGGACUAGCGGCUUAUCAGCUUCUUGGUGAGGUAGGGGCGUACCAGGCCUUUGACGGGUAGCCGGCCUGAGAGGGUGACCGGCCACAUUGGGACUGCGGUACGGCCCAGACUGCUACGGGAGGCAGAAGUGGGGAAUAUUGCACAGUGGGCGGGAGCGUGAUGCAGCAACGCCGCGUGCGUGAUGCCGGCCUUCGGGUUGUAAACAGCUGUCUCAUGUGACGAAGCGUGCGUGACGGUACCGGGUAAAGAAGCACCGGCUAACUACGUG
rnacentral:rRNA from 1 species